UACGGAGGGGGCUAGCGUUGUUCGGAAUUACUGGGCGUAAAGAGCUCGUAGGCGGCUCGUUGCGUCGGCUGUGAAAACCCGCAGCUCAACUGUGGGCUUGCAGCUGAUACGGGCGGGCUGGGAUUCGGUAGGGGAGACUGGAAUUCCUGGUGUAGCGGUGAAAUGCGCAGAUAUCAGGAGGAACACCGGUGGCGAAGGCGGGUCUCUGGGCCGAUAUCGACGCUGAGGAGCGAAAGCGUGGGGAGCGAACAGG
rnacentral:rRNA from 1 species